rnacentral:rRNA from 1 species
UACGUAGGGGGCAAGCGUUGUCCGGAAUCAUUGGGCGUAAAGAGCGUGUAGGCGGCUCGGUAAGUCCGCUGUGAAAGUCCAGGGCUCAACCCUGGAAUGCCGGUGGAAACUGUCGAGCUAGAGUCCGGAAGAGGCGAGUGGAAUUCCUGGUGUAGCGGUGAAAUGCGCAGAUAUCAGGAGGAACACCAAUGGCGAAGGCAGCUCGCUGGGACGUGACUGACGCUGAGACGCGAAAGCGUGGGGAGCAAACAGG